UAGACCUUCAAAGUAGAUAUGAUAUGAUUUUUUUUUGUUACACAUCUAUCAUAUCAUAUCUACUUUGAAGGUCUACU
rnacentral:sRNA from 1 species